UUACUUUCGUAACAUAAUGCCAUCACUCUGUAACACUUGCACUUCUUUUGGCUAGCGCUCCAACACAUUGUACUUUUGUACUGAUAAGC